GCGGAUGUAGCUUAAUGGUAGAGCCUCGGUCUUCCAAACCGAUGACGCGGGUUCGAUUCCCGUCAUCCGCUCCA
rnacentral:tRNA from 2 species